rnacentral:rRNA from 1 species
CGACCGGCGCACGGGUGAGUAACGCGUAUGCAACUUACCUAUCAGGAGGGGGAGUAACCCGGCGAAAGUCGGACUAAUACCGCAUGAAGCAGGGGCCCCGCAUGGGGAUAUUUGCUAAAGAUUCAUCGCUGAUAGAUAGGCAUGCGUUCCAUUAGGCAGUUGGCGGGGUAACGGCCCACCAAACCGACGAUGGAUAGGGGUUCUGAGAGGAAGGUCCCCCACAUUGGUACUGAGACACGGACCAAACUCCUACGGAAGGCAGCAG